rnacentral:rRNA from 1 species
AGAGUUUGAUCAUGGCUCAGGAUGAACGCUAGCGGCAGGCUUAACACAUGCAAGUCGAGGGGUAACAGGGAGCUUGCUCCGCUGACGACCGGCGCACGGGUGCGUAACGCGUAUAGAAUCUGCCUUACACUGAGGGAUAGCCUUUGGAAACGAAGAUUAAUACCUCAUAGUAUCAUUUUAUGGCAUCAUAGAGUGAUUAAAGGUUACGGUGUAAGAUGACUAUGCGUCCUAUUAGCUUGUUGGUAAGGUAACGGCUUACCAAGGCUACGAUAGGUAGGGGCCCUGAGAGGGGGAUCCCCCACACUGGUACUGAGACACGGACCAGACUCCUACGGGAGGCAGCAGUGAGGAAUAUUGGACAAUGGAGGCAACUCUGAUCCAGCCAUGCCGCGUGAAGGAUGACUGCCCUAUGGGUUGUAAACUUCUUUUAUACAGGAAGAAACGGUUCCACGUGUGGGACUUUGACGGUACUGUAUGAAUAAGCACCGGCUAACUCCGUGCCAGCAGCCGCGGUAAUACGGAGGGUGCAAGCGUUAUCCGGAAUCAUUGGGUUUAAAGGGUCCGUAGGCGGACUAAUAAGUCAGAGGUGAAAUCCCGCAGCUCAACUGUGGAACUGCCUUUGAAACUGUUAGUCUUGAGUUAUUGUGAAG